ensembl:snRNA Gm22090 U6 spliceosomal RNA
GUAUUCAUUUUGGCACUACACAUACUCAAAUUGCAAUAAUCCAGAAUAGAUAUAUUAGCAUCACCACUGCACAAGGAUGAUAUGCAAACUCUUCAAACAUGCCAUAUUUAG